rfam:Triticum aestivum genome assembly, contig: Triticum_aestivum_CS42_TGACv1_scaffold_030782_1BL
CACUUACUCCCUUCGUGCGAAAAUACUCGUCGGAGGAAUGGAUAUAUCUAGAUAUAUUUUAGUUCUAGAUACAUUCAUUUCUAUGCAUUUUUCUACAAGUAUUUUCGAACAAAGGGAGUACAUU